GUAAAAGGCUGUGAUGACAUGAUGACAGUCUGCAGGUAAAAGGCUGUGAUGACAGUCUGCAGGUAAAAGGCUGUGAUGACAUGAUGACAGUCUGUAGGUAAAAGGCUGUGAUGACAUGAUGACAGUCUGUAGGUAAAAGGCUGUGAUGACAUGAUGACAGUCUGCAGGUAAAAGGCUGUGAUGACAUGAUGACAGUCUGUAGGUAAAAGGCUGUGAUGACAGUCUGUAGGUAAAAGGCUGUGAUGACAUGAUGACAGUCUGUAGGUAAAAGGCUGUGGUGA